AUGCACUUAAAUGGCCAAAGUCUUAGUGUAGUGUAUGACCCGCCACAUUUAAUCAAAGGAGUGAGGAAUAACUUCUUGACGAAGAAUAUUAUAAUGGACGUCGAAGUGGCAAGACUUGGUGGACGUGUACCGCACGGACUGCCGCCACGCGCAAGCUCGCCUGCUGCGCAAGCUCAACGACGAGCACAUACUCCCGGACAAAAUCAAGAAAAUGAAGGUGAAAAACUGUGUGCGUGUUUUCAGUCAAACCAUGGCAGCAGCUUUAUCCUACACAGCUUCAUUUUCGCACUACGCGGACGGCACGCCUGUGAACGCUACGCUGUACAAAACGGCAGAGCUGGUGGCCUUCCUCGAUGACCUGUUCGACAGCAUCAACGGCGCCAGCACCCACCAAAAGCAUACAACGGAAAGCAAUUGCGGACUGCCGUAACUGAAAACUCAAAACAACGAUUUCUGGAUGAAGACGAUAGAAUUCCGUGAUAUCAACGGAAAAUUGACAAAAGUUCCGACGUUGAAAAAUUGGUUGACAACUUUAAAAAGCUACCAAAGGCUGUGGCAGGUCAUGAACGAAAAAAACAUCAAGAUAAUGCGCCCGCGGUAUUUUAAUUCCGACGCAAUAGAAUUUUUUUUCGGAAGAGUGCGGGCUUGCAACGCCAGAAAUAACGACCCUCCAUGCUUUUGAGUGCACUUUUAAGUCACUAAUAGUGACUAAUUUAAUAAAAAUUCACCAAAAUACAUUUAAUUGUGAGGAAGACUGUGCUGAGGAAGUUAUUAAAAUUCAGUAGUUGUUUGCGCACACUGAAGAAGACAAUGCAAUGAUCGAGGAUAGUACCAUAUCGGUUGAUUCUGCGUCUUCAUCAUUAUCAACCUUCACCGAUCGUGAAGACGGCGCAGAACAAGUAAUCGUGCAAGCCACACGGGAGCGUCUGGAUGUACACUCACGGGCAUAUACCGCGGGAUGGGUCACAAGAAUAGUAUUAAAAAUAUUGAAAUGAUUGAAUGAUUGUGAGAAAGACUUAACAAUGGAAGAAACG